AGGCCCGCCGUCCAUGCCCGCGCAUCUCCGGGCGUGCUGAUCAUGCGACGCAAUAGUGGCCUGGCUGACAGCAUUGCGGAAAAGUUGGGGGCCCGAGAGCAGGCGUUGGUUUGUGACCGGAACAAAAUCUUUACGUGGAUUAAGUGCCAUGCGAACGAAGGAAAGAGGGACAAAUACGGGGGUACGUAGAAAGGUAAUAAAAUGAAUGAACAAAAACACAUAAACGUAAAAUGUUGGGUAAAGAAAAAAAGAAGAACGAAAACCACGAAGGUAGUUAAAGAUGAAUAAAAAGACAUGAAACGUAAACGAAGAAGAAAGACGAGGAUAACGAAAAGAAAAAAUGACCCUUACGACAAGGACGACACACACGCUAAAAUGGCCACGACAAUACGCCGCAAAAACCGAAAGACGGAGGCUAAUCGCCUAAACGUGGUCUCAGUGCAGAUCGGGGGCUGCAACUCGCCCACGUGAAGACGAAGUUGCUAGUAACCGCGUAGGGGCGCAUUCU
rnacentral:rRNA from 1 species